CAGAAGAAUCUGGGGGACUCUCCAGGCUUGGCAGCGUUGUGCUGCUUCCUGGCUUCACGCUUCCUCUGGAGGAGGAGAGAGAGGAGCUACAGCAGGGCUCCCAGGCUGGCUUCGAACUCCUGAUGCUCAGGCCUCCAUCUCUUGAGUGCUGGGGUUACCGGACAGCACCGCCAGAUUGAGGAUGCGCCUGAGUUCCUGGCUCCGUGUCUUAUGCUGUUUCAGGGUGAAUUCUUUUUUUGGUUCGGCCUGACUCAGGCCGGGGAGUAGCCAGCAAGUCUCUCCACUCCCAUGUUCACCCCGCAUGCGCGUCUGGACGGACUGGGGCGGGGCCGUAGCGGGCGCGCGCGCGCGCGCGGGUCCCGCCCCUCGCCGCGCCGCCCAUGACGUCACGGGGCGCCGGUCUCCGCCCGGCUGCAAGCGCAGGCACUCCACAGAGGCCCAGACCCCUCUGCUCCCCAUGGGCAGCUGCCAGGCAGGGCACAACUUGCAUCUCUGUCUGGCUCAUCACCCACCUUUGGUCUGUGCCACUUUGAUCCUGCUGCUCCUUGGCCUCUCAGGUCUGGGCCUUGGUGGCUUCCUCCUCACCCACACAACUGGCCUUCGUAGCCCUGACAUUCCCCAGGAUUGGGUUACCUUCUUGAGAUCUUUUGGCCAGCUAAGUCUGUGCCCCAUGAAUGAGACAGUCACAGGGAAGUGGCAAGGGCCUCACGUCGUCGGCUUACUGACCACUUUGAACUUCGGAGGUGAUCCAGACAGAAACAAAACCCAAACAUUCCAAGCCAUGAUCCCUGGUAGUCAGAUAGGAUUUAAAGACAUACCAGAAGAGGACAUUGGAUCCCAUUACAGAUGGUUGUGAGCCACCAUUGAACUUAGGACCUCUGGAAGAAUAGUCAGUGCUCUUAACUGCCAAGCCAUUCCAGCCCACUUCAACACUUUGACAUUGGAAUAUAACCUGUAUUUUCUUUAAUCCUUUCUGAAAGCUCUUCCUGGUUUGUAUGUUCUUUAGUAUAUCUGAGUUACUGACAGUGACAUGACAGGCUAGCUUUGUGGUUUUUGCACGGAGAAUCACCCCAAAGGUACUUACCAAGCAAGCCAUCCAUUGUCUGUUAAUUAAUUAAUUUAUUUAUUUUGUUUUCAAUGUUAUUUUUAUAUGUAUUGGUAUUAUGCCUGCAGAUCUGGGUGAGAUUAUCAGAUCUUGGAGUUACAGACAGUUGUUAGCUGUCAUUGUGGGUGCUGGGAAUUGAACCUGGGUCCUCUGGAAGAGCAAUCAGUGGUCUUAACCCACUGAGCCAUAUCUCUAGCCCCUUCUCCAGCAAUUCGAAACAGACUAUGAACUUUUAAUGACUUUUGGUGUCCAAUGAAUAACUGAUUUCUUUGGACAAGUUAAUUUCUUUCUUUUUUUACUUUUCUUUCUUUUCUUUCUUUUUUCCCUCUGAGACAGGGUUUCUCUCUGUAGCUCUGGCUGUCCUGGAACUCACUCUUUUGACCAAGCUGGUCUCAGACUCAGAGAUCUGCCUGCCUCUGCCUUCUGAGUGCUGGCAUUCAAGGUAUGUGCCAUCACACUUGGUUUGGUUUGGGCAUGUGCAUAUAUCUGUGAAUGCAGUGUGUGUGUGUGUGUGUGUGUGUGUGUGUGUGUGUGUGUGUGUGUGUACCAGAGGAGGCCUUAAGAGGGGAUCAGAUUCCUUGAAGCUGGAGUUUCAGGCAGUUAGAAACCUCUAGAUGUGCAUGCUAGGAUCCAAACCCAGGUCCUCUGGAAGAACAGCCAAUGCUCUUUGCUGUUGGCCAUCUUUCCAGUCUCUCACUCUGUUGUUGUCCACCUUGUGUCUUGUGCCUCUUGCAGAGAUUGCCGGAGAGUCUGUCCUUGUUACAGCCAGAGUGGCCUCAGGAAGGACUCCAGGGACCUGCCUGUAUUUUAGUGGUAUUCCAAAAAUUCUGCCCUCUAGCCAACCACCUAUAUCCUGCUCAGAAGAGGGAGCUGGAAAUGCUACCCUGAGCCCAAUGAUGGGUGAGGAGUGUGUCAUAGUCUGGAGCCACGAACGCUUUGUGCUCACCAAGCUGCUGACCUCAGAGGAGCUAGCUCUGUGUGGCAGCAGACUGCUGGUCCUGGGCUCUUUCCUGGUUCUGCUCUGUGGUUUUCUCUGCUGUGCCACUGCAGCAUGCUUCCAUCCACGUCCCGAGUUCCACUGGUCUAGAGCACGGCUUUGAGGUUGACGGACUGUGCCUUACUCUGCUGUCAGGUUUAUUUUUAUUUAUGUGUAUAUGUGUGUACCUGCAUGAGUUUAUGUACAUCAUAGUGCACAGUGCCCAAGGAAGCCAGAAGAGGGCGGUGGAUUCCUUGGUGCUGGAGUUAGAGGUAGUGGUUUUAAGCUGCCAGAUGUGGUUGCUGGAAAUCAAACUCCAAUUCUCUUCCAGAGCAGUACAGAUCCAGUUCUUGGGGCCUACUUCUGAGUUUAGAAGACCUAUUAGAAAAAUGAAGAACUGGACUGUGGGAAAAUAAAUGGCUUUUGACUAC
rnacentral:lncRNA from 1 species